ensembl:lncRNA
GUUUGAAUGAUGUCUGUGAGUAUAACAGAACUCAUAUGGCAGACAAAAACCUGAGAAGAAAUCCAAACAGGAAGUGAGACCUCGAUUUAGAAAACAGUGCCAUUUGAAGUCCGGCUUAGAUAUGGAUGUUUAUGCACUUCCUAGGGCUUCCACAAGAUGUCACCAUCUUUAGAUUCUGGUUGUAUGAUUAUACUAUAAAGGAGGGGCUCAUAAUAGCUCUUUGAGUGGGUGGUCUGGCAGAACGCCUCGGUCUCAUUGCGCGCGGUCACGAGAGUGUUCUUCAGUUCCUAUGCGUUUCUUCAGACAAUGAAAUUCUCCGGUUGAAACCUUAUUGCUGAUUAAUGUUUAAAACGUCCUAAAUAUGGAUUGCAUACAUCAUUUGACUUGUUUCUACGACCUGUAACGGAACUUUUUGAGUUUUUGUCUGGAGGAAUUGCUCGUGCUUUUUGAGGAUACGUUUAUCUUUAAUUCUGUGAAUAACACUUGCAUCUUUUAUCAAUGUUUAUUAUGAGUAUUUCUGCAAAAUCACUGGAUGUUUUGGAAUCAAAACAUUACUGCACGUAACGUGCGAAUGUAAACUGAGAUUUUUUAUAUAUAUAUAUAUAUAUAUAUAUAUAUGCACAUUUCCGAACAAAACACACAAUACAUGUAUAACAUGAUGUCCUAUGAGUGUCAUCUGAUGGAGAUAAUCAAAGGUUAGUGAUUCAUUUGAUCUAUAUUUCUGCUUUUGUGACUGUGAAAAAUGACUGUGUGUGUCUUUGAAUUUGGUGGUCAUCUAACAUAAAUAUAUGUUGUGUUUUCGCUGUAAAACCUUUAAUAAAUCGGACACGAUGGGUAGAUUAACAAGAUGUUUAUCUUUCAUCUGCUGUAUUGGACUUGUUAAUGUGUGAAAGUUAAAUAUUUCUAAAUAAUAUUUUUUUCAGCUGAAUGGGAGGGAGUGUUCCCUUUAGGGAACUCCUUGCCAUAACAAGUUUUAAGGUGGAUUUAAAUACAUCCGACGUGGGGUGCAUGAGUACAGUUACAGCAUAUUUUCUCUCCAAUUUCCUGAUAUCCAUCUAUGAUCUUGUCUCAUCGCUGCAAUUCCCCAAUGAGCUCGAGAGAGAGAGAGAGAAAGAGAGAGGUGACCUGCCAAACCACGCUUCUUAACACUCGCAUGCUUAACCCGG